rnacentral:lncRNA from 1 species
GUUUUAGAAAUCAUUCUCUUUUUUAAAUAUCCUGAAGGUAAAAAAAGUCCAUAACUGUAAUAUUUUAUUUAUGUUUCAGGUUUAUAGCGGUAUAUCUAGGAAGACUACUUUUUUAGUACAAUAAAGAUUUACUUACACACACACACACCUCUUUAAGUCUGGCAUUCCUUUACAGCUGGCAUCCAGCCUGGACAAGUAGCAGCUACUCAACUGGAUGCACGAGUUAUGGCAGUAAAGUGGAAAUAUCCAUCCUCUUGACUUUGUGGAUUAGGAAAAUAAUUACUUAGUUAUCCAUUUCCUCACCCUAUGGUAGAAUCAUUUACCUCAUUUUAGGAAAUAGAGAUUAUGAUACCUUGAUUUAUAUCAGCAUCCUCUCUUCUUCUUCAGUUAAAAGAAUAUGGACACUACUAUUGAUAGCCAAGCGACACAAAUUCCAUAAAGAAACUAAAGAAGGCAUAAGAUGGGAUAUAAUGGCUAUAGAGCAGUAGAUUUGAAAUCUAUUUUGACUUCUUUUACAAGUAACUUGACACAAUAGACUUAAUUUCUUCCUAUGAAAAAGGGCGGGGUUUAGGGCAAGUGCUAUGUUUUGAAUAUUCCUUCAAAAACUUAAUGUUACAAUGGCAAUGAAAUUUCAACAUAAGAAUUGGGGCUGUUAGGAGAUGAUUAGGCCAUGAAAGCUCUAACUUCAAGAAUGGAUUGAUGUCAUUAUCUUUGGAGUGCACCCAUUGUUGCAGAAGUGGGUUUAUAUUAUAGAAUGAGUUUAUGCCUUUUGUAAUCUCUGUGGGCAUGAGUGCCUUCUCACUCUCUCUUCUCUCUUUCCCUUUCUCUCACUCUUCUUUGGUCUUCUACCUCUGUCAUGGGAUGAUACAGAAAGAAGAUCUUUGCUAAAUGCUGAUAACUUUAUCUUUAUCCCCAGUCCUCAGAAUCAUGAGUCAAUAAAUUUAAGUUCUUCAUAAAUUAUCCAGUAUUUGGAAAAAAUGGACUGCAGCACAAAAUGGAGUAAGACAAAAAAUGUAACUACAUAAAAAGAAAUUGUUAAUAAAAUGCGUUAUCAACACUUUCACACAAUAUACUAUAUAAGCAAUAGGUUACUACAUGACUUCCAGGGAAAAGGCAGACAACAUGAGCAAACAGAAGAGUGAAAUUUCAAUUGUGCUUUCUAGGCAGGAAGAGAAAGUGUGUAUAUGUACAUCAAAUACAAUUUAUUCUUACAUAUAUAGACAGAUAAAACAGUGAAUGAUAAUUUAGAAUGAUAAUUCUAAAAAAGUGUGUAAAGUUGUUAGUGAAAUUACUAGGGACUGAUUUUGUUUAAACAACAUGGAUUAUACUAAACAUGUAUAUCUUAACUUGUCCAUUGUAGAUCCUCAGUAUUAGACUUUGGUUUAGGUCUGGAUACAAAUCCUUUUCCAGUUAGGGGAUUCAAACGUGUUUUGUCCCAGUCUAUAGCUUAUCUUUUCAUACACUGAAUAAUCUAAACAGUGUCUUUUGCAGAAUGGCCUUAAAUUUUUC